GCUUGCUCCCUGAUGUUAGCGGCGGACGGGUGAGUAACACGUGGGUAACCUGCCUGUAAGACUGGGAUAACUCCGGGAAACCGGGGCUAAUACCGGAUGGUUGUUUGAACCGCAUGGUUCAGACAUAAAAGGUGGCUUCGGCUACCACUUACAGAUGGACCCGCGGCGCAUUAGCUAGUUGGUGAGGUAACGGCUCACCAAGGCGACGAUGCGUAGCCGACCUGAGAGGGUGAUCGGCCACACUGGGACUGAGACACGGCCCAGACUCCUACGGGAGGCAGCAGUAGGGAAUCUUCCGCAAUGGACGAAAGUCUGACGGAGCAACGCCGCGUGAGUGAUGAAGGUUUUCGGAUCGUAAAGCUCUGUUGUUAGGGAAGAACAAGUGCCGUUCAAAUAGGGCGGCACCUUGACGGUACCUAACCAGAAAGCCACGGCUAACUACGUGCCAGCAGCCGCGGUAAUACGUAGGUGGCAAGCGUUGUCCGGAAUUAUUGGGCGUAAAGGGCUCGCAGGCGGUUUCUUAAGUCUGAUGUGAAAGCCCCCGGCUCAACCGGGGAGGGUCAUUGGAAACUGGGGAACUUGAGUGCAG
rnacentral:rRNA from 1 species